CCCUAUGCCGCAGAUCCUGCACAGCACGGGGAGGGGGCUGCCCUUACGGAGCCUUUGGAGGUGCACCUUGCAGUAGGUGUCCAUGCACCUCCGGCCGCACGUGUUUGCGUGGCCGACCCUUAGCCACCCGCAAUAAUCCUUUCCCCACUUCAUCCUUCGAACGCUCGGUAUACCACAGGACAUACGGAUGUCUAAUUGCAAGUCCUUGGGGGUUCGAACUGCAUCAUUGGAAAAAUGUAGCCAUGAUACUUCAUAACAGCUUCAUUUAUUAGAGUGCGAGCCACAAAGCCCUUAAAAACGUAUGUCAUGAAGUACCAAGCUCAAUUAUCCAAGAUGGCGGCUCGACUCAAACACGGGAUCAGAUCUAAAGUGCUUGGCUGGAAACUUUCAGUAACAACCGAGGGGAAAGCUUCGUAGAUGGAGCCUUAAAGAGUUCGACCGCCUCUGAAACUGUAUUUCGGAAACAGGAGGCUUCUGUGGCAAACAAGGACUGCCAUAGAUCGUAGACCCGUGGCCGGUGAUCGAGCGUUCGAUAAAAAGAACACACGACGGUAUUCGUUCGAAUCCCUCAAUGGCAUCGCCCUAUCAUCGCUGCUUUAGCAGAGAAAUCCCGAGAGAAGUUCGAAGCCAUGAAUAAUUGAACGACCAAACUGGGGGAUUGGGAGCAAUUCAAGCACCACUGAAAGAAGUCGUAACUGCUGGAUCACGCGAACUGAAGUCCUCUGUUUCAGGUUGCCGUUGCUCUGGAAGCUGUGGGAGGGGAGGUACCGUAUUCGGUGCUCCGAAAUUCAAACAAAGAGUAAUGUCCAGUUUGGCUAGCGCUAAUGAAGUUGUUGAGUAGCCCUACCGGUUUCGUCCCCAUAUUGUGACAAGAAAAAGCCACAAAACGUUGUGCAACAACUAAAAGUUUAAAAGAAGGUUGGCACUGAGUCAUAGAAUCGAGCUUUCCAGUCUCCUUUUAUGUUCGUUCGUUAGCCAGUCUGUGGGCAAAAUGCGUCAGGGGCGGGUCUAGCGUUUUGCUUAGAGGGAGGUUUGACCUAUUUCAAUGGAAGAAUACAAAUUAUCUCUUUACAUUGACUUUUUGGUCCCCAAAGAGUCGUAGGUUAUGUUUAUAGAUAAAUUGAACACUAAUAAAAGUGUCUUGGGAGCUCUAAAUCUAUGUUUCUGAGAUUGGGGUUGGAUGUGGUGGGGGUAUACAUUUAAUAGGAAAAUCCUGUAGGGAAUUUUCGAACAUAACAUUUUCCCUUGGCAACCCAAGAGGGGGCUUAGACACCCCCCCCCCCCCUAGAUCUGCUGUUGGACAUACCUUCAUCAGAGCAUUUGAAACGAUAGCUAGCUUCAUUUCCAGUUCCGCCUCGCGGCCAAUGCUUUCUCGUGUCAGGGAGCUGUGGGGCAAGCAAAAUAUAAAUUUGUUUCAUUCAUCAAGGCGGAGAAGGACACAAAUAACCAGACGCACGCACCUUUCACGGCCCGGAGGUCUGCUCGCCUGCGAAUGAGAAAAAAAGCGUUAGAUCUGUUUGUUAUAAGAACCAAACAAACAAUGAGAUAUUUCCAAUAGUACAGAGGGUAGAGACGCGGGUUAAAGAACGGAUUGAUGCUGUCCCCGGCACAAUGACAGUGCUCGACGAACACAAAGAUAAUAAUAAAAUAAAGACAAAUAUCCGAACGAUUAGAGUGCUUGGGAAACCUGUGUCGUAGGUAUAUAUAGGACCUUGAGCUUGGGAUGCCUGUGUGCAACACUUACCGUGUAGGUGUGCAAGGAUGCGAAAACAUAGCUUGGGUUACCUGUGUGCAACGCUUACCGUGUAGGUGUGCAAGGAUGCUAAUAAAUAGCUUGGGAUACCUGUGUGCACCCUUACCGUACGCGCGAAGAUUCGAUCAUCGAAGCUAUGUCGCCGCGGUACGACGGGUAUGUGGAAUUUGUGUGGUCCAUGUGAUCUCCCACGACCUGAAAAAUAUAGGAAAGAUUGCCUUUUUGAGUGGGUGUUAAGCGAACUGUCAUAAUACAGAUAGUCUCCCUAAAAAACGAUAUUCUGGAAAUAUGUCUCACUAAAAAGCGAUAUUCUGGUAUAUGCUGAUAAAAUACAAAAGUUUCACCAAAUUUCAAGAGAUAUCUUUUUAGAAUAAUAAAGUUUUAAAUUUGCAAAUACAGUAUUAGUAGUGGCCACAGACCAAGAACGGAAAAGAUGACAUGCCUCUGACUUGCUUUUGUUACUUGCUGUCGUGUCGGGAAUGUCCAGUAGGCAACGUUAGCCUACAAAGCCGCGGUUUGGUGGGGUCUGCCCCGAGGUAAACAAGUAAAUGUAUGUUUACAUGCUCAUUCGGAGUUCGAGUUCGCUACAUGGCCGCGAGAGACUGGGGCAGAUUAGAUCACAGCAAUUACGUAGUUAUAAAUAUAGAAGAAUGCAUUACAUUGCCAAGGCGCUCUGACUUGCAGUUAUUAGAUGAGAUAAAGCAUUAAGUCAGUUAGUUUACUCAGACAUAAUUAUAGUGAAAACGCUCCUUUAAAUCAGAAAUAUCUAUUAUAUCGCUAAAGAGAAUCCAAUGAGGAAACGGAAGACUCUCGGUCAGUCUAGAUCUUCCCUAUUUAAUAUUGUAACCUUGGUCUGCUACAUUUUCAGGAGUUUUAGAAUAAAAUAUGUUGGCAUGGCUGUUUGGCCCUGGUGGCGAGCUCCUAUACUAACUUGUUUUUCGCUUGGUGCUUCGGGUACUAUACUCAAUUGUCUAGUUUACUUAUUUGUGCGUUGCUUGGCGCCUCGGGUACUAUCCUAACUUGUUUUUCGCUUGGUGCUCUGGGUACUAUACUCAAUUUUCUAGUUUACUUAUUUGUGCGUUGCUUGGCGCUCCGGGCACUAUUCUAAUUCGUUUUUCGCUUGGUGCUUCGGGUACUAUACUCAUUUGUCUAGUUUACUUAUUUGUGCGUUGCUUGGCGCUUCGGACACUAUUCUAACUCGUUUUUCGCUUGGUGCUUCGGGUACUAUACUCAUUUGUCUAGUUUACUUAUUUGUGCGUUGCUUGGCGCUUCGGACACUAUUCUAACUUGUUUUUCACUUGGUGCUUCGGGUACUAUACUCAAUUGUCUAGUUUACUUAUUUGUGCGAUGCUUGGCGCUUCGGGCACUAUUCUUACUUGUGUGUUGCUUGGUAGCAAGCUCUGGGUGACUAUCGACUCGGUGACAACGGCCCGUAGAUACUGAACCGUCGCCUAGCAUUCCAAGAGCAACAACCAAAGCGUGUACAACUCACAGAAGACUUGCCCAUCAGAGGACGCCUCGGCGCCAAUCAAACGAUCUUAUACCGAGUGGCGACCAUUGGUAUUCUAGCAUUUCAGUGCACCACGAAGAGCGAAUUGCGCGCUCUAUAGCCCACCCAUUAUUUGUUUAUUGAGCAAAAAGUGUUUGCUCAUUCAAAGGUGGUAAUCCUUGAAUAAACAGAGCUCACUAGAGGGAUUAGCGAAGCUUAUCAGCCCAGUCACGACAUCCAUCUACAAACUACCCUGCGCUCCAAAUAAAGUAACGGUAGAUGCACGAAGGCGAUAGUAGAUUGGUUCAAUAUCAACGGCAAUAUCAUGGGAUAUUGAUGUAACCAAAACAUGUACGUAAGAUCGUCUUGACUGUGAAAAAAAAGCUGCAAUUAUCAAAAGACAGAACGAAUUUUCAUGUGCUUAAAACAAAAAAAUUCUGUACAGAGAUAAAAACGGAUUACAGUUCGUAGAUUGUAAGUCUAGACUUUGACGCUAUCAAGAAAACAAUAUCCAGCCAGUCUUACUACUGACAUUUUAAAGGUCGUGACCAGGAGCUGUCACACUAUCGCAUGCGAGUGUAAGUUAUUACAUGCGAGUUUGUUACAGCCAGUCUAAGGAGGAAACAUCGAAAACUACAGACGUUACAGCCAGUCUAAGGAGGAAACAUCGAUAACUACAGACGUUAUAAAGGUCGUGAUCAGGAGCCGCCACACUAUCGCAUGCGAGUUAAGUUAUUACAUGCGAGUUUGUUAGGAAACAUCGAUACCUACAGACGUUAUGAAGGUCGUGAUCAGGAGCCGUCACACUAUCGCAUGCGGGAUAUUACACGCGAGCUUAUUACAGGCGAGUGUAUGCGCUAAACGGCUACACUAACUGGCAAACCGUACAAUCGUACAAUGAAAACUGUACAGUGACUUUAUGCUUCUGCUGUGGUGACUUGCUCAAGAAAUAGGAGCGCUAGAAGCUAUAGGAAAAAAAAUGCGACUAGAAAUAAAAGCGACCGAGCAAAGGAAAUUAUUCGAAUAGUUGUUGUAAAUAUCGUUAAUAACUCCAGCAUUCGCUCCUUUACCUUCGGGAAAUCGUGCACGGGAGUCUUUGUUUACUGCGUAUGAUUUCUUCGGCAUCGCGUUUUGUUAGAUCUUUUGGGAAUCUCCCUGUACUGUGACCCUUGCACUCGCUAGCUUGCAGCGAAUUUCUACGGCGAGCUGUUUAUCACUUGCUAGGAACGCCAAACAACGAUAAAAUCCCGGAGAAAGUGUAGGCAAUACGAACCCAGAGAGAAUGGUCUCACUACUCACAACAUGGACUAGCAGUGUCGUGGGAGAAAGGUUUGAGAAGCGCGAUCAACUGGAACUUGACCAAGGCAAGCGCAAACAACCAAUAUUAUACCAUCCGUUAUUUUGUGUUUGAGGUUCCCACGACAUAUGAAGCAUUUCAUGCUCAGAAUGCCUUCACAUGUGCUCGCUGAACGAAAGUAAAACUUUAAAGCUUUGUGGAAAUCUAAAGGAGGUGCGUGAGAACUACGUGACGAGGCAUGUUUGCGUGAAAAUGCUUUCAGACCUUGCGUGACGUGGUCGGUGUGACGAAUACUGGAGCACCACUCUAGUACAGACAGAUAACAAGUGUCACAGACGUGACCACAGCCGCAGAUAAUAGCUAAACGAGAGCAUCAAAGGACAGCGUCUCAAGAUAGACAUCAAGAUAGACGACCCAAUAAACGACAGAACAAUGGAUGAGUCACUGGACAAAAUAGCUCACAGGAAACGCGAGGAAAUAUUUGUGACUGGAGAGUGCAAGGGAAAUACUCGAUACAGAAAUACUCGAGAUGUGAGAGUAAAGUGCUUGUUGAAUACUGUCUCAUCUAAGCCGAACGAUGGUGUUGCUUUCCACAGUCGUCUAUCAACAUCAUAGUGUGUUUUUACAAAUUAAUAAAAAAUCAUAUCUAGGAAAGUACCAAGAUGCACUAUUUGAGCCGUGCUCUAGCAUGUUAUCGGCUCGCACUGCCAAAUUAUUCGACACGAUUCUGUCACUAUUUGUUGCAGCUGUACUACAGCAAAUAGUGACAGAAAUAGUUUGAGCCUUGCCAUAGCAUGGUAUCGGCCCGUACUGUACAACUAUUAAACACGAUUCUGUUA